GUAUUGCGAAGCGUGCCUGAUCUGGUUGGGCUUGGGGGUAUUGACUUUCUCUCUCUGUAGUAAUGUUAAUUUAUCUCUCUAGAUCGUGGGGCUGCAUUGGGUGGUGCCGACAUCUUCUCAGCAGCUCAUGGGGCAACUGGAUGGAUCUGUCAGCAGACUCACGCAUUUCUUAAAUGCCCUAUAACUGGUAAAUGCAUUGGGUCAAUUCCAAACCGCCGUUUAAGUGUGAAACUAUCCAAUUUUUUUCUUUUCUAAUAUCAGGACUUAAUCUAACAUCUUUCUCCUGGACUACAAAUCUCAGUGAGAAAAAAGUGUUUGCAUAAAAAAAAAAUAAAAAAAAGGGCUCUCUCAGAAAACCCUAAUGAAAAAUUCCAGCCGCCACCGAUUUUGGAGUUUGGUGGCCUCCUUCCCAAAUCACCUCUCCUCUUCCCUCUUUUCCCCCAACCUUCGCCCCCCUUUUUCCGUUAUGAUCUUUCUUUGUUAUUUUGUUUUGUGAUGUAGAAGAAGUUGCCAUGAAACACUAUCGACACCAUAAAAUAUUCGUCAUCUUUUAGCCCACGUAUACAAGGAUGAUGUCGGAUUGUGUCAGAUUUAGGUUUAGCUAGUGCAAUACUAUGGGUUUAGCCAAUAUGGCAUUGUGGCUCUCUUCGAGUUGCCUGGAGGAUGCAGAGUGGUGGUCAUACUUCUUAGUUUGUUUAAGUUUAAUAAUUCUC
rnacentral:lncRNA from 1 species